GGAUGCGAUCAUACCAGCAUUAAAGCACCGGAUCCCAUCAGAACUCCGAAGUUAAGCGUGCUUGGUCGAGAGUAGUACUAGGAUUUUGACUCGCGCCGCUGCGUCCC
rnacentral:rRNA from 1 species